AAAGUCGUAACAAGGUAACCGUAGGUGAACCUGCGGUUGGAUCAUUAAAAAAGUGGGAUGCUUUAGAGCGUCCCUUCUUGGGCUUUCGGGCCCAAUAAACCUUGUGCAAUUUGGCAGGACAUGGCAACUAGGCCUGCCCAAGUAUAAACAACCACUUUAAAAAGUCUGAAUGAGAAACACCAAUGAGAAACAACUUUUGACAACGGAUCUCUUGGCUCUC
rnacentral:misc_RNA from 1 species